rnacentral:piRNA from 1 species
UAUAGAAUGGUAAAAGGAUCUGGCUGGAG